rnacentral:hammerhead_ribozyme from 1 species
AUCCAGCUGAAGAGUCCCAAAUAGGACGAAAAGCGCAUCCUGGAU